rnacentral:rRNA from 1 species
AGAAUCAACGCUGGCGGCGUGCCUAACACAUGCAAGUCGAACGAGAAAGUGGAGCAAUCCAUGAGUAAAGUGGCGCACGGGUGAGUAACACGUGACUAACCUACCCUUGAGUGGGGGAUAACCUAGAGAAAUCUGGGCUAAUACCGCAUAAUACCUUCGGGUCAAAGGAGCAAUUCGCUUAAGGAGGGGGUCGCGGCCGAUUAGUUAGUUGGCGGGGUAAUGGCCCACCAAGACUGUGAUCGGUAUCCGGCCUGAGAGGGCGCACGGACACACUGGAACUGAAACACGGUCCAGACUCCUACGGGAGGCAGCAGUGGGGAAUUUUGCGCAAUGGGGGAACCCUGACGCAGCAACGCCGCGUGGAGGAUGAAGCCCUUGGGGCGUAAACUCCUUUCGAUCGGGAAGAUAAUGACGGUACCGAGAGAAGAGCCCGGCUAACUCGCGCAGCAGCCGC